AUUGAGUUUGAUCCUGGCUCAGGAUGAACGCUGGCGGCGUGCCUAAUACAUGCAAGUCGGGCGGCAGCGAGUUUUGCACUAUUUGCUUGAGUGGUGAGAUGUUUCUCAUCGUAACCUCGAGUAAGUGGUGCAGAAUGUCGGCGAGCGGCGGACGGCUGAGUAACGCGUGGGAACGUGCCCCAAAGUGAGGAAUAACUGCCCGAAAGGGUAGCUAAUGCCGCAUAUGGUCUUCGGAUUAAAGCUUUCGGGCGCUUUGGGAGCGGCCCGCGUCUGAUUAGAUAGUUGGUGAGGUAAUGGCUCACCAAGUCGACGAUCAGUAGCCGGUCUGAGAGGAUGAUCAGCCAGACUGGAACUGAGACACGGCCCAAACUCCUACGGGAGGCAGCAGUGGGGAAUAUUGGACAAUGGGCGCAAGCCUGAUCCAGCCAUGCCGCGUGAGUGAUGAAGGCCCUAGGGUUGUAAAGCUCUUUCACCGGUGAAGAUAAUGACGGUAACCGGAGAAGGAGCCCCGGCUAACUUCGUGCCAGCAGCCGCGGUAAAAUC
rnacentral:rRNA from 1 species